AGCUGAUUGAUGGUUAUAAAACUACUCUCAUACAGAUUCACUCUGGACAAACAACCAACUAUUUCUUUAGAAUAACAAAGGUCUGCUAUAAAGUGUUUUCCACUUCAGACGAAAUAUCUGUUAAGAUUUCAUCUUCUGGAGAAAUGGUGUAAGAAAAGGGCAGUCAUCUGAUCGGCACAACUUUGUUACACAAUGCAAGAAAACUGUGGACAUUUU